rnacentral:rRNA from 1 species
GACGAACGUUGGCGGCGUGCUUAACACAUGCAAGUCGAACGGAAAGGCCCUGCUUUUGUGGGGUGCUCGAGUGGCGAACGGGUGAGUAACACGUGAGUAACCUGCCCUUGACUUUGGGAUAACCUCAGGAAACUGGGGCUAAUACCGGAUAGGAGCUCCUGCUGCAUGGUGGGGGUUGGAAAGUUUCGGCGGUUGGGGAUGGACUCGCGGCUUAUCAGCUUGUUGGUGGGGUAGUGGCUUACCAAGGCUUUGACGGGUAGCCAGCCUGAGAGGGUGACCGGCCACAUUGGGACUGAGAUACGGCCCAGACUCCUACGGGAGGCAGCAGUGGGGAAUAUUGCACAAUGGGCGGAAGCCUGAUGCAGCAACGCCGCGUGCGGGAUGACGGCCUUCGGGUUGUAAACCGCUUUCGCCUGUGACGAAGCGUGAGUGACGGUAAUGGGUAAAGAAGCACCGGCUAACUACGUG